CGCCUCCUGUAAGGCAAAAAUAGGAGGUCACGCCUGCCCACUGACUAUAAGUUCAACGGCCGCGGUAUUUUGACCGUGCAAAGGUAGCGUAAUCACUUGUCUCUUAAAUAGGGACUGGUAUGAACGGCAUCACGAGGGCUUGACUGUCUCCUCUCUCUAAGUCAGUGAAAUUGAUCUCCCCGUGCAGAAGCGGGGAUGAAAACAUAAGACGAGAAGACCCUAUGGAGCUUUAGGCCAAGGGGCAGACCAAGUUCAUACACCUAUAAUAAUAGACCGAACUUAUUGUGUGCUGUCCCAGUGCCUUAGGUUGGGGCGACCAUGGAGUAUAGGAUAACCUCCACGUGGAAUGGGAGUAGCUUCUGCCUCGAAAUACACACCGCUCCUAAAGUUGAGGGCCGCGGCCCUAAACAGCAAAACUUUUGACCCAAUUUGAUCCGGCAACGCCGAUUAACGAACCAAGUUACCCUAGGGAUAACAGCGCAAUCCCCUUCUAGAGCCCAUAUCGACAAGGGGGUUUACGACCUCGAUGUUGGAUCAGGACAUCCUAAUGGUGCAGCCGCUAUUAAGGGU
rnacentral:rRNA from 1 species